rfam:Oryza brachyantha chromosome 2, whole genome shotgun sequence.
UACAACCUCAAUUUUUAUUUUUCCGUGUCGAACAUUUGACCAUUCGUCUUAUUUAAAAAAUUUGUACAGAAACUUAAAAAAAUUAGUCACGUAUAAAGUACUAUUUAUAUUUUAUCAUCCAGUAAUAAUAAAAAAAUUAAUCACAAAAAAAUUCAAAUAAGAUAAAUGGUCAAACGUUGGACACGGAAAAACGACGAUAAGAUUAUU